rnacentral:rRNA from 1 species
UACGAAGGGGGCUAGCGUUGUUCGGAAUCACUGGGCGUAAAGGGCGCGUAGACGGCCGAUCAAGUCGGGGGUGAAAGCCUGUGGCUCAACCACAGAAUUGCCUUCGAUACUGGUUGGCUUGAGACCGGAAGAGGUAAGUGGAACUGCGAGUGUAGAGGUGAAAUUCGUAGAUAUUCGCAAGAACACCAGUGGCGAAGGCGGCUUACUGGUCCGGUUCUGACGCUGAGGCGCGAAAGCGUGGGGAGCAAACAGG